rnacentral:tRNA from 2 species
GCCCGGGUGGCUCAGUCGGUUGAGCAUCUGACUUGGGCUCAGGUCAUGAUCUCAAGGUUCGUGGGUUCGAACCCCACGUCGGGCU